rnacentral:rRNA from 1 species
AGAGUUUGAUCAUGGCUCAGGAUGAACGCUGGCGGCGUGCUUAACACAUGCAAGUCGAACGAGAGAAGAUCGGUGCUUGCACUGAUCCGAUCGAGUGGCGGACGGGUGAGUAACGCGUGGGUAACCUGCCUCAUACAGGGGAAUAACAGUUGGAAACGGCUGCUAAAACCGCAUAAGCGCACAGUAUCGCAUGAUACAGUGUGAAAAACUCCGGUGGUAUGAGAUGGACCCGCGUCUGAUUAGCUAGUUGGUGAGGUAACGGCCCACCAAGGCAACGAUCAGUAGCCGGCCUGAGAGGGUGAACGGCCACGAUUGGGACUGAGACACGGCCCAAACUCCUACGGGAGCA